AGUGAACGCUGGCGGUAGGCCUAACACAUGCAAGUCGAACGGCAGCACAGUAAGAGCUUGCUCUUACGGGUGGCGAGUGGCGGAUGGGUGAGGAAUACAUCGGAAUCUACUUUUUCGUGGGGGAUAACGUAGGGAAACUUACGCUAAUACCGCAUACGACCUACGGGUGAAAGCAUGGGACCUUCGGAUCUUGCGCGAUCCAAUGAGCCGAUGUCGGAUUAGCUAGUUGGCGGGGUAAAGGCCCACCAAGGCGACGAUCCGUAGCUGGUCUGAGAGGAUGAUCAGCCACACUGGAACUGAGACACGGUCCAGACUCCUACGGGAGGCAGCAGUGGGGAAUAUUGGACAAUGGGCGCAAGCCUGAUCCAGCCAUGCCGCGUGGGUGAAGAAGGCCUUCGGGUUGUAAAGCCCUUUUGUUGGGAAAGAAAAGCAGCAGGUUAAUACCCCGCUGUUCUGACGGUACCCAAAGAAUAAGCACCGGCUAACUUCGUG
rnacentral:rRNA from 1 species